rnacentral:rRNA from 1 species
GACGGAGGAUGCAAGUGUUAUCCGGAAUCACUGGGCGUAAAGCGUCUGUAGGUGGUUUAAUAAGUCAACUGUUAAAUCUUGAGGCUCAACCUCAAAAUCGCAGUCGAAACUAUUAGGCUAGAGUAUAGUAGGGGUAAGGGAAUUUCCAGUGGAGCGGUGAAAUGCGUAGAGAUUGGAAAGAACACCGAUGGCGAAGGCACUUUACUGGGCUAUUACUAACACUCAGAGACGAAAGCUAGGGGAGACGAAUGGGAUUAGGAAACCC